AUUGCACGUCUAAGCAGUAAGGCUGAGUAUUAGGCAAAUCCGGUACUCGUUAAGGCUGAGCUGUGAUGGGGAGAAGACAUUGUGUCUUCGAGUCGUUGAUUUCACACUGCCGAGAAAAGCCUCUAGAUAGAAAAUAGGUGCCCGUACCGCAAACCGACACAGGUAGUCAAGAUGAGAAUUCUAAGGUGAGCGAGCGAACUCUCGUUAAGGAACUCGGCAAAAUGACCCCGUAACUUCGGGAGAAGGGGUGCUCUUUAGGGUUAACGCCCAGAAGAGCCGCAGUGAAUAGGCCCAAGCGACUGUUUAUCAAAAACACAGGUCUCUGCUAAACCGUAAGGUGAUGUAUAGGGGCUGACGCCUGCCCGGUGCUGGAAGGUUAAGAGGAGUGGUUAGCUUCUGCGAAGCUACGAAUCGAAGCCCCAGUAAACGGCGGCCGUAACUAUAACGGUCCUAAGGUAGCGAAAUUCCUUGUCGGGUAAGUUCCGACCCGCACGAAAGGCGUAACGAUUUGGGCACUGUCUCAACGAGAGACUCGGUGAAAUCAUAGUACCUGUGAAGAUGCAGGUUACCCGCGACAGGACGGAAAGACCCCGUGGAGCUUUACUGUAGCCUGAUAUUGAAAUUCGGCACAGCUUGUACAGGAUAGGUAGGAGCCUUUGAAACGUGAGCGCUAGCUUACGUGGAGGCGCUGGUGGGAUACUACCCUAGCUGUGUUGGCUUUCUAACCCGCACCACUUAUCGUGGUGGGAGACAGUGUCAGGCGGGCAGUUUGACUGGGGCGGUCGCCUCCUAAAAGGUAACGGAGGCGCUCAAAGGUUCCCUCAGAAUGGUUGGAAAUCAUUCAUAGAGUGUAAAGGCAUAAGGGAGCUUGACUGCGAGACCUACAAGUCGAGCAGGGUCGAAAGACGGACUUAGUGAUCCGGUGGUUCCGCAUGGAAGGGCCAUCGCUCAACGGAUAAAAGCUACCCCGGGGAUAACAGGCUUAUCUCCCCCAAGAGUUCACAUCGACGGGGAGGUUUGGCACCUCGAUGUCGGCUCAUCGCAUCCUGGGGCUGUAGUCGGUCCCAAGGGUUGGGCUGUUCGCCCAUUAAAGCGGUACGCGAGCUGGGUUCAGAACGUCGUGAGACAGUUCGGUCCCUAUCCGUCGUGGGCGUAGGAAAUUUGAGAGGAGCUGUCCUUAGUACGAGAGGACCGGGAUGGACAUACCUCUGGUGUACCAGUUGUCGUGCCAACGGCAUAGCUGGGUAGCUAUGUGUGGACGGGAUAAGUGCUGAAAGCAUCUAAGCAUGAAGCCCCCCUCAAGAU
rnacentral:rRNA from 1 species